UAAGGAAUAUUGCUCAAUGGGAGAAAUCCUGAAGCAGCAACGCCGCGUGGAGGAUGAAGGGUCUAUGACUUGUAAACUCCUGUAAAGAAGGAAAAAAUUCUUAUUUGAUGGGAGAUGAUGGUACUUCUGGAGUAAGCCCCGGCUAACUACGUGCCAGCAGCCGCGGUAAUACGUAGGGGGCAAGCGUUGUCCGGAUUUACUGGGUGUAAAGGGUGCUCAGGCGGAUUUGUAAGUCAGUGGUGAAAUCAACGGGCCCAACCUGUUAACUGCCAUUGAUACUGUGUAUCUUGAAUAUGAGAGAGGUAGGCGGAAUGUUGCAUGUAGCGGUGAAAUGCUUAGAUAUGCUACGGAACACCGAUUGCGAAGGCAGCUUACUAUUUCGUAAUUGACGCUGAGGCACGAAAGCGUGGGUAGC
rnacentral:rRNA from 1 species